rnacentral:lncRNA from 1 species
CAGGCCUGGCAGGAGGAGGCGUGGCAUUUCGAUCCCCCCCCCCGCCCUCCUUCACUAAGCGCCCCACACCCCAGGAACUGAAAAGCGGUCAUGGACGAGAGAGAGAGAUUGCUCGGAAUCCUUGAGGAGCUGACAGGCGAAGAGCUGAAGACGUUUGCUUUUUUAUUGCCCGACGCCAUCCCGCGCGGGAAACGCGACACUGACUCUCGGGUGAAUCUAGCGAAAGUGAUCCUGCAAUACUGCCCCGAAAAUGCCUUAGAUGUCCUCAUCGAGGUGUUAAACAAAAUCCCGAGGAAAGAUCUCGUCUUGCAACUUAAAGGCGACCUGAGACGAGGGGAUCCCCGUUAUGAUAGGACCGAAGAAGAAAGGGAAGUGGCGGCGGCGGUGGCACCACCCAAGCUGGUUUCACAAGAACAGCUGAUGAAACUAGCCAGAAAAAUGGGCAAGAACUGGAAGGAGAUUGGCAUUUUGUUCCUGGGUAUGGAAAUUUCACGUCUGGAGCAGUUUGAAGAGGAGCAUUCUAAAAACAUGGCCAUGCAAAUUUUCUCCAUGCUGUGCAACUGGAGGAACCGUGAAAAGAACAAGGCCACUGCUCACAACCUGUAUAACAUUCUCAACCAGGAAGCGGUAGAAAUUGACUCGAGUGCCUAUGCUUUUCUUUUAGAAUAAAAUGCAACAGAAAAAGAUCAACCCUAAAGAAGAUGAGCCUCACCAGCAUUCAGAGUCUGUCGCACCACCUAUGGUACUUAAUAUUGUCAUUAAAUACCAGAAUUUAUAUUCAAUGGGAUGCCCUUGUAAGGAUUUUUAUAGCAUCAGAAGAAACAGAACAAGUGCUGGUGCUUUCUUAACUCAGGUAUACAUUUUCCUGGAAUUGUAUGGCUACUGUAUGAGCCCAGAAAAAGAUAGUCCUUCUUUAAGGAAGUGACAAAGGUGCACAGUGUGUCAUCCCACCUACUUAAAAGCCUAUUCUUAGCUUUGGAUCUAAAGUGUUGCAAAGAACUAGGAAUAACAAUAGGUUGGGGUAGGGGUUGUUGGUAACACUUUUCACAUUGGACAGAUUUUUAAGUUCUUUCUCAAGUUUUCUUUCCCUUGUUUCAUCUCUGUUGCUGUAGCUCCUUUUCUAAUGCACAAGCCUGCAAUUGUUCAGUUCUCUUUAUUUUUUUCCUCCCUUUUUAUUUUUUUCAUUCUGUGGUGAAGUUUUAUUU